rnacentral:pre_miRNA from 1 species
UCUUACGGAUGAACAAAGAAAGUGGUUUGUUUUUUUAAAUGAAAUCUGCUCCUGGUGAAGAUGCUGUGAA